GUUGGUCAGACAGGCCUUGCCAAACCCACAGGCUGUUCUGCUGCUUUGCUACCGCUGUGGUGUUUUGAUGUGCGCUACUGUGCAGAUGCAGUUUUUGGGCGAUCACCAACAAGCUACCGUACAGGAGGAGACUCUGGGAUAGUAAGGGAUAUCUUUCAAGUAAGAAAAUCCUGCUCCAGUGUGCCACAAGUCAUGGGGGAAGACAGGGCUUUGGAAGAAGAAAGCAAACCUUUGUGUUUUUCUGUCCAUGGAGAAUAACGUGACAGAAGACAGGACCUAGAAGAUAAAUAAUUCGCCCGUCUUGGCGUCACGUCCCCGUACAAUGACAAAUUACCCUCACCCCGUGGACCUCCCAGACACCACUGGACUGAACUGGAGGGAGGUCAUGUUUCGGUGUCUGGAGAGUGUCCUAUCUGUCUGUCCAUCCCAAACUGUCUAUCUGUCCUGAAAUUACCAUGGAGGCCAUUCCCCUGUCACUGACGCUCCCGGUGCUGGGAGUGGCCUUGUGGUGUGAGUGUGUGUGUGUGGGCAGCACACACCGUUCCUGAACAUUUGGAACUCCUGCCCAGCCCCCCUUUCCCACCUCCUCUAUAUCAGUCUUCACCAUUGCCACUGCUGUCUCCUGGUGGCCCCUCAGCUCACCCUCAGCCCACAAUCUGUGUAGUGGGAUCGCCACGGGUC
ensembl:lncRNA